rnacentral:rRNA from 1 species
GAUAACCUGCGGCGUGCCUAUCAUGCAAGUCGACCGAACGGAACGAGAAGCUUGCUUCUCUGAUGUUAGCGGCGGACGGGUGAGUAACACGUGGAUAACCUACCUAUAAGACUGGGAUAACUUCGGGAAACCGGAGCUAAUACCGGAUAAUAUUUUGAACCGCAUGGUUCAAAAGUGAAAGACGGUCUUGCUGUCACUUAUAGAUGGAUCCGCGCUGCAUUAGCUAGUUGGUAAGGUAACGGCUUACCAAGGCAACGAUGCAUAGCCGACCUGAGAGGGUGAUCGGCCACACUGGAACUGAGACACGGUCCAGACUCCUACGGGAGGCAGCAGUAGGGAAUCUUCCGCAAUGGGCGAAAGCCUGACGGAGCAACGCCGCGUGAGUGAUGAAGGUCUUCGGAUCGUAAAACUCUGCUAUUAGGGAAGAACAUAUGUGUAAGUAACUGUGCACAUCUUGACGGUACCUAAUCAGAAAGCCACGGCUAACUACGUGCCAGCAGCCGCGGUAAU